AUAAAAUAUGGAGGGCUUCAUGAAUGUCAUCAGAACUCUCAAGAAGAAGAGCAGGAUAUAAAGGUGAUCAUAGAAUCAUAGAAUUUGUAGGGUUGGAUGGAACUAUGAGGGUCAUCAAGUCCAUGCUCUACCAACUGAGCUUGGGCUGUUUUGCUUAUUCAUUUUUCAGAGUGGAAGGGUAUACUUCAAAAAUUAUACAAUUAUCAAAAUGCCAAUCAACUUCCAAUUAAUUCAUUUUAGUUAGUGGCUCCCCGCAUGGUGGUUUGGAUGCAAUUCCAUUUUUAUACCACUGCAUUCCAUAAUCUUAAUUAAUGUCAGCCACAUUUCAGUUAUAAUAAUCUCUUAGUCAACAGCUACAUAAUUAAUGAUUUCCAUUCAUAAUGUUACAAUAUAUAAAUUUAUAAAGCUUCAAGUGAGGAACUCAAACUAUUAUCUUUAUUCUGUCCUGCAUGUGAUAACUGUUAUAUCCAUGGAGAUUCCUUCUGUCCAUAUAUGAUGUUGUCUCUUUCACUUCCAAGCUGUUGUUUUCUACCUUCGUGGCUUGGAGCGGAACUGAAUCUCUAAGUUUCUCAGAGAUCUUAUCUUUCCAUCCCUUGCUUUGAUGUCUCAGAACAGGUAACAGUCUGCUAGAAACCAUUCUGUCUCACUAGUAGAACAUGUUACAGGUCUUAACCAUCUUUCCCUCAGCCUAGGAAAAGGUGGGCAGUUUUUGAAUGCACAGAAGAUUUAAUACUGCUUUCUACUCCCCAGAAUCUCUGCAGGUUCUUAUCAUAGCCCCAAAAUUCUUUUCAUUCCAGCAAGAGAUUUAUGGCCCAAUUAAAGUUUAUCUUAGAUUAUAUUCCAUCAGUAGCACACACAAAUCUCAGUCUCUUUUUCCUUGUCUGUUGUUUUUAAACGGAGGUGAGGAGAAUUACUCUGUCUUUCCAACAUAGUCAUACUUGAGCUUCCCCUCCCCCUCCUUUUUUCAUUUCAGAUCACAUGAAGUUUCCAUUUUUGCUCGUUAAUAUCAAUAUUACUCCGAUGUCCCUUCCUCACUUGUAAAUAUAUUUUUAUCUUAUAUUCUGGAAAGGGUUGCCGAAUCAUAAAUAUAUAAAAGAAGCUUAGAACAAACAAACCCUGGGCUUGCCUCUCCCCAACCAACUCUCACACCGAAGACAAUCUUAUCUCAGGUCAAACUUUUGAUCUAUGUAGUUGGUAUAUUCUGCAGUAUGUUGUUGCAACCCUUUCCCAUCACACGCUGGUACUUUAAAGCCAAUUAAAGAUCCAAUAAGAUGGAGAACAUUUGCUUCUUAAUGGUGGAAUAGGAGGGUUUUCUCCAGGCUUUUGCCUCCCACAUUCCAUGCCGGAGUGGGAGCCAGGUACCGAGACGAACUGCGAGUGAAGCCCAUUCUCCCCAUCCCCGGGGGGGAAUUUGAAAAGAUGAUUUACCUUCUGUCAUCCUUGUUUUUUGUUUGCUGACGAACCCCUGCUGUUGUGGGGGCUGCCUCCAUUAAGGAAGGCGGGACCAGAAGCCGUGAUUGUGCCAUGUCUAGUGAUGCUACAACCAUGUAUUCAUAUUUCCCUUAUUUCUCAAUUAUUUAAAAAGUUGUACCAUGCCUGUUCUACAAAACACACCCUUGUAUACUUCCUCUUACUAUAACUGUAUAUGUAUAACUGUUUUGAUUUUUUUUUUUUAUUGUACAGAGAUUAUGUUAUGUAUUGACAUUCAACUCCCAUAAUCCCUGAUUACUAGCCAUGCUGGCUGGGGCUGAUGGGAAUUGGAGUCUAACAAGAUCUGCAGUCCUGUGGUGUGGGGAAAAAUAUUAAUAUUACCCUCAGUUCAGGUUGCAAUCCUAUAUCUACUUUCCCGAGAGUAAGGCUCUUUAAAAUCAAAGUGACUUUAUUCUGGGAAAGACAUGUAUAUGAUUGGACAGCUGGCCUCCUGUUUGCACACAUGAGUUUUAUGUGUUUUGGAGUUCUGAACCAGAGAACUUAAGAAAAGCCCUGCUAGAUCAGGUCCAUGGCCCAUCUAGUCCAGCAUUCUGUUCGCACAGUGGCCAGCCAGAUGCCCAUGGGAAGAGUGAAAGUCAGACAUGAGUGCAACAGCUCUCUGCCCACUUGCGACUCCCAACUCCUGGCACCCAGGACUAGCCAUAGUCCUCCAAAAAAAAAAAAAAUUCAAAUCCUUUUAAUCCAAAUUGGUGAUCAUCCCUGCUUCCCAUGGGAAUGAGUUCCAUAGUUUAACUCUGCACUGGGUGAAGAAGUGCUUCUUUUAUCUGCCCUGGCUCUUCCAACAUUCAGAGGACUGUGGGAAACGUGCCCAGUGCAGCACUGGGAGAGGACUGUGCCUUGAGUGGGUUGCAGGGCCAGUGAAUCAAAGUCAAUUUGCAUAAUACAUUUUGAUAGGCUUGACGUUAUUUGCAGAUGAUCUGCACACACAUGAAAGAACCAGAGUCGCUCAUCAUGACAGACAGGUUCAAGCUCACCAGAUGAGUAAUUUAGCCUUCACACAGCCAUCUUAAAACAUAAUGAUAAUCUCAAAGUGGGUUUAAACUAUUUAGCAUUAUUUAUUUGAAAACUUAUAAGCUGCUUGUUCAAAAAGUCACUGGUGUAUGAAGAAAAUGAUAGCUAAAACAUAGGCGAAAUCUAUAAACCAACUGAACAAAUAUACAUAAUAACAAAGAAAAAAAUCACUAAAACAAACGUAAGUAAUUAAAUCAUGUGUCAAGGACAGACUUCCUAAAACAAAAAUGUUUUCAGCAGGUAUUUAAAAUAAUAUAGUGAGGGUGCCUGGCUAAUGUCAAUGUCAGUGCCUAAUGUCAAUAGGCAGAGAGUUCCAAAGCCCAUGUGCUAUAGCACUGCAAGAACAAUUCUGUUGACAGCUAUAGCACUGCAGGAACAAUUCCUUGUAUGUGGCAGGUGCCACAGACUGAAGAAAUCAAAUAGGCAUAUAUAAGAGGCAGCGUGAUCCCUUAAUUCUGUUGUUUUAAACGUCACUUUAACUCCAUCUUCUCUAACCAGUAUCUUUCCACAGAGUUUACUAGACUACUAGUUCCAUUAUCCCUGACCAUUUGCUACACACCUAAGGAGAUCCCUGUUGGAUCAGGCCAAAAGAGAAAGGACCAUAAGGGUCAUCUAGUCCAACCCCCUUUAAGGCAGGCAUCUUUUGCCCAAGGCUCAAACCCAUGACCUUGAGACUAAGAGUCUCAUGCUCUACCAACUGAGCCACUAGGUGAACAGUGGCCAAAUGGAUGCCCCAGGAAGCUUUCAAACUGGCUGGGGCUGAUAAUACUUGGAGUCCAUCACAUCCCGGGAGCUAGGGGCACCGGCUUUAGAUUUUUUAAAAUAUUGAUUUUUAAUUGCGUGGUUUGCACUGAUUAAAAAGUAAUGGUUUAAUACAACAUUCUUUUCUGCAACUCAUUCAGAGACAUUUUUAGUUGAAAAUUCAAUAAAAGUCUAAAGUUCAAUAAUAAUAAAUAAGCAACUGGGGUUGUUUUGCAAGCAUACUAAGUUGUUGCUAUGCUGAGUCUAUCAUUGUCAUCAACUCAUUGCUGGCAGUGAUUAGCUCUCAUUCCUUACACUUUCUCAUCUCCCUUGUUUGGGAUGAUGGACCACACUGGUGUUCCAAAAUUUCCGAAGAAACCCAUGUAUCUUAUCUGAAGUACCAUAUUAAUGGGCAUUGCCUAGUAACCCUUGUUGCAGGGUGUGUGUAUCUGUGUAGAUAUUAUAUCAGGCAUUUCAAGGUAUUACUUUACCGCAGGAUGCUUUGCUAAAUCCUCACACUCUUAGCACUUCAUAAAAAUGUUUAAUUUAUGUUUAUAUAUUCGUAUUCAAAAUGUUAGUUAACAGCCUGUAGGGACCUGGUAAUAGGAUAUUUUCCCCAUUCUUUUUUAUGUUUAUUAGCUACAUUAAUGACUGUUUCUGCAACUCUGCUACAAAGGCUCAUGCUAAUGAACGCCAAUUAAUUCCAAAAUGAUUUUAAACAAAGGGUGAUGAGAAUAACCAAUCAACCAUGGCAGUGUAAAGAGCAGGCAAGUCGCUCUGACCUAUUCCCCCCCUUCCAUGUUGUUUCUCUGUUGACAGCUAGCACUGAUAGUCCUCUAGCCCACCAUUUCCUAUGUGUACACACGCAAGUGUAACAUUCCUCAUCAUCUCUCCCUCUCUCACACACAUGUACACUUGGAGCAGACCAGAGAAACCAGAACUGACUGAAAUUUCUCAGGAAAAAAAGUAUUCUGAGAAAUUAUAUGAGAAUUUACUCUGUUUUGAGAGGGUCUGCUUCCAAACUAUUACUUAAUUGGGGGUGGGGUACAUCUAUAGACUGGAAAAGAAUAAGUGAGAUCAAUACCUCCACAAUCAUUCUGCCACCAGCAAAUCAGAAGGAGAAUUUGUAUUCAACUGUAAAUCCCACCCAAUAUUGUAUGUUGUUUAGGGAAGCAAUGAGUUUGGAUCCACACUCUAAAAAUAUGAACUGUAGUGUCCUCUCCCAUAAGGUUUUUGAGAAAUCGAAAGAUCUAUGAUAGAGUAACACUUUGUGCACGAAAUAUAUUGCAUACAUGCCCAACUGCAAUGGCACACCAGCUUGGCUUUGGGUCCUGUUGUCUGUCUCAAAGAGCUAACAGUAGAAGGACAAAAUGUCAACAUCAUCCAUUCGGGUGGAAACAGAACCACCAUCCUUGGGCCACCUUCAGUGUUCAACUAUUAGCCCACAUCUCAUUUAAGCGCUACAAUUAGAUCUGCCACUUAUUAUUCCUCCUGCCACAGUUUCUCAAAGAUUUCUAACAGUGGCCAUGCGUUGCACACCUGGUAGAAGAUGGGGUGGGGGGAGUCUCCUUUUAAACAAUGCAAGAGCUAACCAAUGCAAAAACCUAAUAAUUAAAUUACAUUUAGCCGGCAGCGAUUAUUAUUCUGUACUGCUCUCCCACCGAGGCAGCCACGGUGAUACGAUUUAAGCAGCAAUCUAGCAGAACACUUUUCAUUGCCCAUGAUUGUUGUGCUGAGUAAAUUGGCUCGCAUCAUCUUUGACUCUAAUUUGGGUUUUUAGAACAGUUAAUUUGAACUUAAGCACCUAUGGAAAUGUCAUUAUCAGGAGGUGUCUGCAUUGGAAUCCUCUUUCUAGUGGGGCUGUUUCGAACUGGCUGGGCAAUUCUGUAGAUGUUUCUUAUGCUCUCUAAUGUGCCAUUUAUCAGUGAUUUAUCAGACAAUGUCAAAGAGAAAGGGGGCUAUGUUAUACACAACAGCUUUUGGCAACCUAAACACCACAGAAAAAACUGAGAUGCUGUUUAUUUUUGAAAAGGUAGUUGGUCCUUUUACAGUGCGGAUCUAUGCUAAAUAAGGACUCACUAAACAAUUAUUUGCUUCAGUUAAUCAAGUUAAUCAACUUGUUAACUGCAGAUGAAGAACAUGGACCAUGACUGCAGCUUCCCCUUAGAAAAGGUUAUUCACUGCUGAUGGCAUUGUUGAGAAAGUCCCAGAAUCCCACAUAAUGUCUUCAGGAUCUGAUGAUUAGGAAGAUAUAACAGUGCAUAGGAUGGUUGCCUGACAGGGCAGCUCCGGGUCUCCAGGUCAAAGAGCUGUACCCAACUAACUUUUAUGCGGGGUAAAGGUAAAGGUAAAGAUAAAGGGACCCCUGACCGUUAGGUCCAAGGUAGACCCAUUUAAAUGAAUGGUCCUUAGCUUGUUGUGGCCAUUAACUUCAAUAGAUAUACUUUGAGUAUUACUAACUUUGGAGGAAACCCAAACAUAUUCAUUGAAAGUAAAGAAUGGCAGCCUGGAGCCAAAAGUAGACCACCUGCCUUCCACAACCCCAUCACAAAUUCAUGUAAAGCAUGUCUAAGGAUGGAGUGCCAGGUAUGGAAUUAGAACUUGUUGAUGGAUGACCUAGGGAUACUUGUUGAUGGAUGACCUGGCUGGUGGCAUGUGCUCUAAAUAACAGUUGUCAUGUGUCAACAGACAGUAUAAAGCCUGACUAAUAAAAUGCUCGCAUUCGUGUUUUAACUUGCUGCCUGUUAGGGAGAAAGUCAACUGGGCCUCCCAGCGUAAAAAGUUCUACAGCUUGGGUGCAAUCACCGAGAAGACCCUAACUGCAUCUCUGCAUGUUGCACAUCAGAUCAGGUUCAUAAGCAGAUCAGCUCCUGAUGCACUGGUGCUUCUGAGAUGCAUGGGUAGGUUCAUUUAGGCCAGGUUUCAGGAACCUUUGGUCCUCUAGAUGUUGCUGAACUACAACUCCUGUCUUCCUUGGCCACUGCCUAUGCUUGUGGGAUUCAGAGGAUUCAGAACUUUUCACCUUUUGGUGAAAAAUUAUUUAAAUACAGAAAUUUUCUCAACAAUGGGGGAUAUGUCUUGCUGAAUUGGACUCUGAUAGUAAGAAGAGAGGCUCUGAAUUUGUUUCUGAAGUCUCACCCAGUUGAUAGAGGCAGCCAGUUGAUAAGUAUGUGCUGAAUUAAAAAUGUAUACCUCCCUUAACAGGCACAGAAGGCAGAGUGCCAUUUUUCCUCACCGAGAAAGGAAAAUCGUGGAUUAUAUAUACGGAACGUUAACUGUAUCAGGAUGAAAUACAAAGGAGCCACAUCAAAGAAGCCAUGUUGAAAUCAGUGAAUAGUUUAGCAGGAAGGAUUGGGAAGGCAGGAUACUUGUGGGUUUUGUUAAGAGCAAGAGUGCUGACAGAAGUUGAAAGCGAUUACCUAGUUGAAAGCAAUUACCUAGCCUGAUGAGACAAAUUAUAAUGAAUAUUGCUUCUCAAGAGCCAAUGGAUGUCUAGAUUAGAUACUUUAAAAUAGAAGAAAAAGUAUGGGACACCCAGCAACUCAAAACCUCAGGUGCAAAUAGACAGCUUUCCAAGUAACUUGUAGUUUACUUGUUUACAGAAUUGUCUGGAAUUUACACAAUCAAAGCUUGCAUUCCUAGAUGCCACAAUGGACUUUGCCUGUAAUGAUAUAAGGUGUACACAUGUUGGGGAAUGGCAUGGGGUAUAUUCAAACAUGGGAAAUACUGAAUUUGUUUUCCUGAUUAUAAUGCUAGCAGUUCUGUCCCAUGUCCUAAUGUUCCUUUCACACUGUAGUACCUGUUGUGUUAGUUAACUGUUGCUUUCCGACCAAUGUACUACCAUGUCAUGCUAAAUUACAUUCACACCAGCGGGCAUGGUGUGCCGCAGCAAUGACGGUCAUUGGACAAUGGGGAUUCUCCCAAUCCUUUCCGCACAUGCAUACUUCUGUUCCCCCAUGAUUUCCCCACAAAACUGGCAUGAAAGAACUGGAUGUAUGCUGGCAUACUGCCCCAGCCAUGGGAGAUAGACCCAGAUCAGGCUCAUUAUGCAGGGUGACUAGAUUCAGCCCUUUUCUCUGGCACUAAUUUUCCAAGUGCAACUCUUACUCUGUGCUGAUAUUUCAACCCAGGAUGCUAACAGGAGUGCUUUUUUUUCUGCCCAGGGGGUGGGGGUUAAGUAGGGAGGGAUUGCCGGCAGAAUUAAAUGGCUAACCCCUGUGUCACAAUCCCAAUCUGGAUCUCUCACACCACUACUUUCAGUUAAAGAGAGAGAGAGAGAGAAGGAGAAUCCCAGUCAUGGAAUUCAAAGGUCAUUUCCAGAUGACCUGCUAAAUGAGCAUUCAUCCUGAUUUGUUUGAAGGGAGAAUAGACAAUGUCAGCUAUUUAAUGAGCGUUCAUCCUGAUUCAUUUGAUGCCACUGCAUCAAAGCAAGUUUUAUCCUACACUUCCCACCUGAAAAUAGCUACAGUCCCCUGAAAUGAAUUUCAUCAACCCACUCUAAUACACUUGUAGGCUAUCUUUCCUCCAACAAAAUUCAUGGGGGGUUGCCCCGCCCCCUGCCUGCAUUUCAUCCCUACAACAAUAUGUGAGGUACAUUAGGGAGCCAAGGGCUGGAUGGAAAGCCCUAAUAUGGGUCUCAUUGAUCCAAGCGUAUCCACUACACUAACUGACUCUAUGAAGCUGUUACACCUGAGCAUUUGGAAAUGGAAAAUGGAACAAAUCACAAAAGAGUGCAUCAUCAUCUAGGUACAAAGCAUUUCUUUUUUAAUGCAUGGCAUGAUAUGUAGCAGUUUCAUCUCUGGCCCAGGGGUUGGGGAGGCCAAAUAUUGCCAGGAUCACAGAACACAGAAAGUCUACUCUGGUAGAAAUGUAAGAAGGCAUCAUUAUUCAUUCUGGUCCAUAUUCAAUACAGGCAGCAUUGCUUCUGCUCCAGUGCAGUUUGACUUCUGCUAUUAAAAAAAUAUAUAUGUUAUGUCUUAUUGUCUGCUGUGGCGUAACGGAAAACUGAAAUAACUCAUGUAGUUAAUUAUGUAAAUUAUGUAAGUUGCAUCAUCAUUAUGUUAUUCCAUCCUAUUCAUUUCAAUGCAAAGGAAACACACUGCAAAGGGGGGGGGGAUAUAAUCAAUUAUGUAUCAUUUGCAGACUGAAAGCAACAACAGCAAAUGCCAAUUGUAUUUACUGGAUUGAUUUCUGUUCUGGACAUGGGAGGUGUAGCAUAGCUCAGUCGGUAGAGCACAAGAAUCUUAAUCUCAGGGUCAUAGGUUUGAGCCCCGCAUUGGGCAAAAGAUUCCUGCAUUGCAGGGGGUGGACUCUACAAUUCCAUGUAUAAGCCAACAUUGGCAAUUUUUGCUUCCGCUUCUGUUUUUCAUCAAAAUUCUCUUACAUUCCUCUUGCCAUUCAUGACCUCCCAACCGCCCCUUGAAAUUGUCACCCUGUGCACCUACAAUGUUUAGAAACAAAAAUCCUAUUAGCACCAUUUUUAUUUUUUACUAUGCCUAGUAGUUGGGCAGGGGUGAUUCCUGAGGGGGGGGGUUAAUGGCUGGAGGGGAAAGGAAUAAACCUCUUGCCCCUGUGUGCUCAUGUUGCUGAUAACCAUCACACUUCCUGCAGUUGUAAUUUAUUUGAGAAAAACAAGAGGCGUAGCUACCUGCUACGCAUGAAUCCUAAUGUGUAGCUUGAUCCUUAGAAUAAUAAGAUUCAAACAGCUGGAAGAAACUUGGAGGUCACAUAGUUUGACCCCUGCUCAAUGCAGGAUCUGCAAUGCAGAAUGCAACAGCAGCAUCCCUGACAGACAUCUGUCCGAAAUCUUCUUUCUUUCUUUCUUUCUUUCUUUCUUUCUUUCUUUCUUUCUUUCUUUUUUAUUAAAUCUGCACACUGCCCUUGAUCCAAAGAUCACAGGGCAGCUCACAAUAUAAAAAUACAAAAUGAGAACACAAAAUACAUAAUGAAACAACAAAUGCAAACUAAAAAUCCGCCUCCCAGAAAUACAUUGAAAGGGCCACAGAUUGUUUUAUCAGCCAAAGGCAUGAUCGUAGAAGGACAUUUUCACCUGGCACCUAAAGAUAUGUCCCCUCCAUUGGGACAGGAUCUGACCAACGAGGAGCCUGCUUUCAUGUUGCCACCCUCCUGACCUUUCUUGGAGAGGACACACAAAGCAGGGCCUCAGAUGAUGAUCACAGGGUAUGGGUUGGUUCAUAUGGGGAAAGGCAGUCAGUUCUGCCACCUCCUUUGGGACGGAAUUUAAAAUGGUCUGCACUACUCAGAAAAGCUCUGCUGGAGGGACCAAUGAUGAUAGAAUGGAGGCAGCAAGGUAUGCCUUCUUUGUUGUCUUCACUGCAACUAGGUAGGCUUGAUUAUGAGCCCUCACAAGUGUUUGAUUGCAUUCAACCACAGUUUUGCUCCAUUCAUGUUUGAGACAUGUUUGUUUCCUUGCCAUAAGUUAUGGAAUAUAGCAGACAGCCAAGCAGGCUUCAUGAAAUGAGGGAACUCAGGGGCCAUCAGGUCAACAGUCCAAGCCAUUCAGAUGUUCCAGAGGUCAUCCAGAGUUUCAACUGGAAUGCCAGUCAUAUGAACAGGGAAAUCCCUCAGGGUCAUCUGGAAAUGCAUGGGAUCCAUCAGCCUUUGGGGGUGGACCAUCCUAAGGUGUCCCCCACUUCCACAUUGGGGUAAAAGGUGCUGAGAGCCUAACUCUCAAUAGGAAAUGAUCUGUGCAACAGGCCUUCAAAUAUUUGAAGACUGCUAUCAUAUCUUGUAAUCUUCUCUUUUCCGGACUAAAUAUAUCCAGCCCUUGCAACUAAGCAUGCCAAUUAAUUCCAACAAAGACAGAAAUAGGAACAGAAAUGUCCCAUAUCUGGAAUGGAAUCCAAUCCAGCAAAUAUAAUUGGUAAUCAAUGCUGUUGUUUCAGUUCACAAAUAACACAUAACUGAUUACUCUCCCACUAUUUGCAUUGUGUUUCCUUUGCAUGAAACAAACAGGGUGGAAUAAUGCAAUGAUAACCAUAUUUCACCACAAAAGACAGCAAGACAUUCAAUGUUAUUUUGGGUGGAAGACAAACUGCAGUGGAACAGAAGCAGUGUUGCAUGCAGCAAAUACAGGGCAUAAUGGAAAACAACAUCCUCUUACAUCCAUACUUGUAUCUACUCCUUAUAGGACUUUUCCAAGAUCUUUCAUCAUCUUACUGAGUUUGUUUUCCACUGGAAAGGAGUUGGGGAAGGGCAAAACCACAACGACCCAUUCCUAGAAGGUAUAGGUCAAGUGGCAAACCACUUUAACCCAUGCUUUCUAGGCACAUGUGGAAGUGUAGACAAGCCCUAGGUUAUACUCAGAGCAGACCCAUUGAAAUUAAUGGAGAUGGCUAUCUUAGGUUCAUUAAUUUCAAUGAGAUUACUGUCAGUACAAGUUCAAUACACCCAAUAGUUAGUAGCUAAGUCAUACUCAAACUAGACCCUGUGAAAUCAAUGAACAUGAAUAACUUAUGUCUGCUUAUUUUGAUGGGUCUAUUCCAAAUAUGACUUAGUUACAACCUUAGUAUACAACCUCCUAGGAGUGCAUUGGCUUUUUUUAAUAUAUAGCAACGUAACAUUGUUGGCUCAUAUUCACCUUGUGAUCAGCUAAUGGAACAGAUCAAACCCUAGAUCUGGGAGGAUGAGGUGGGCUAUUUAGGUGGAUCUCUGGCUAUGCUGGCUAAAGCUCUUCAUCCUGACUCAGCCAAGGCUCAGCCAAAGCCAGAUCAGCCAAGGCUGGGGUAAGUCCCCCAAAAGGUGAGUGCUGGGGGCGUAGUAAAGGAGGGCAGGGCAGGGCAGGGCAGGGCAGGGCAGGGCACAGCAAUACUUACUCCCAUGAACUAGCAACGCAGUGGGAAUGGCAAAAAGACUUGUGUAUAUCAAACUCUCUUAAUGGCUUAUUUCCCUUCUGCCAUGCUCAUGUCAGCUCAGUCUGCAGCAGCACCCAGUGUAAUGUGUGCUGGAUUCCUAUAGUUUGGAUUGCACUAUUAGACAAUGAGAUUCUUUGCACAGGUACUCCUGCCAAGCCAGAUCUCCACCAUCCUAUACUUCCACCUUUGGCUUUCUUCUGGUACCUAAUGCAAGACAUUACAUUCAUUUCUCUUGAAUUUCAACUUGUUGGUUUCUAACCAAUGUCUCAAACUGCCAAGAUCUUCUCCACAUACACACCCCUGGAAGAUAGCUCGAUCUAUGCAAUCAUCAAAUACCCAGCACUGUAAAUCUGAUAAAGAGAUGCAAAGUUCCAUACAACCCAGAAUCUUCCAAACAGUCCAUAUGUGUAAACAAAAGAACACAGAAACAUUUUUAAACAACAAACUUUCAGCUUUAAGCAGAAUCCCAUUAACAGCAUGGAUUCCUAUAACAUGUCCACCAGGGCAUGCUGUCUUAUGUAAGCAAGUUACCAAUAGGGAAGGGAAAAGAAGCCAAAGAUAUAACAAGAGGGGUCUGCUUGUCGCCCUCCCUAUGCCUAAGACUGAAUGGGCCUUCUAACUGAGAAAAUCAGAUUCUAAAAAGAUCCCUUUGUCUUUUAUGGUGCUACUCAGCCCUCCCAGCUUUGUGCUCCUUGCAAAUCUGUCAUGCAUCCCCUUUUCACUUUUAUGCAGAUUGUGUGUGUGUGUGUGUGUGUGUGUGUGUGUGUGUUUUGAACAGCACAGGUCUGAGGACAGAUCCCUGUGGCAAUCAACAUGAGACCUCACACCCAGAUGAUACUCCCUGGGUAUGCUUGUUCAAGCAGCCUGGGGUCUACCUAGCAGGAGUAUUGUUAAGCCCACCUUUCCCAUCCUGUGUCAUUUCAUGAUCAAAAUGAGCUUGCUACCAUUUUUAUCCCUGCGCAGAUGUUUUAAAACAAAAAACAAGCAACGUGCACAGACAGAUCCAUUGUUUAUUUACGACCCCCAUGACAAUCAGCAUGGCAUAUGCGCCUACAAUGUUUGACAGAUAAAAAGAGUUAUUUACAGAAGCCGUGUUUAUUAUGUAUGAAGAUGCAAGCGGCUCUAGUAUUUGUUAAGCCCUCCAUUCAUUCUCCCCAGAGCUGGCAUCCAGGACAGUCGUAGAAUGGCACAGGGGUAACAUCGCAAAUGCAUGUCAUUUUCAUCUUGUGACUGUUAAUUUUGGAGCACAGUUUAGCUUUGCCAUUUUCACAUGGCUUCAUUUAUUGGGUGGGGCAGGGAAUGGAUGCUCAGCACAGGAAUUUCUCUUGAACACAUUGGGCUUUUAACUAAAUUCUUUGCGGCACUCCUGAUAACUCUAUUCUCUGGGCUUUGCCUGCAGUCCAACCAACAACAUCUCCCAAGUGCCAUGUUGGCUACCACUGGGCAUUAUUUUAGUGGCAAAUUCAGAAGUUCAGGGCCCCUUCGUGGUAGUCACAACUACGUCCCCUAACAGCCACUCAGCCUUCUAACACCAUACUAUAAUUAUGCAAUAAUCAUAAAAUUUUGUAAUAAUAAUAAUUAGAGAUGUAUUACCAUGAUCAUUGCUGAUCUCUAUGUGUUACCUUUCAGCUCUAUCUAUUUUCUGUGCACAUACAUGGGCAAACGCUUUGGAGUGUUUUCCAUGAAGUUCCAUUGUAUGUAAAACAACAAACAAACUUGCACACCACUCUCUUCAAAGCACCUUGUGUUUUCAGUCUUCUUAAAUGCCUAGCUUAUAGAAAAAGUUUUUCCUUAGUGUCCUUUCCAUGUACCUUUUCCAAAAUGACCCUAGGAACUAGUCCUCAGUGGCAGGCUCACUUCCUUUUACUCUGGCUGAGGAGACCAAUAGUGGGUCCAAUGGUCAAGAAGGCAGUUUCUACAGGUGCUGUAGAGGAAAGUCAGGGGCAGGUGGGCUCAUCAGCCUGGGAAAAUAGCCCAACUAAGAGAAGGAAAGCCUUGAUCCUAAACAUCUGCAGGAAGUCCUUGCAGGAUAUCUUUGGGAGAAGAUAAAGCUAAGGAGUAAACCCUACGCAAAUCCGGAGUGGAGUUCCUAAGAUGGUUGAACAGCAGCUUGUACACUUCCUUCCAGCAACUCCUACAGCCAAGCUGGUGCCAAACGGAUUUGCACUGCUUUCCUUUGGACCACAACAGUGAGGCAGAGAAGGGGGUCUUGCCAUCUGGGCAGCCCAGGAUCUUUAUAUGCACUAAAUAGGCUUGCGCCCCAGAGAGGCCACUUCAGUGCUGCUAAUGCAGCGGUUUGACUUCAGCUCUGGUGGCACACUCCAUUGUAUCUCAAAAGAGAUAUGAAUUCCAACAACAAUUCCAAUCCGCACAAAGGGUGAGAAGGCUUCUUCUCCUGGCUUCUUCUCCCCUUUCAUACUGAUUGGGCAGCUCUAGGAUGCUGGAGAGAGGCACCCUGCUGCAGAAAUAUUAACAAGUCUUUGACCCUGGACUAUUCCAUCUCUAAUUAUGGGCUAUAGCUGCAGGAGGGAGCAGGAAGCAGGAAAGCAUAUAGAACAUGAGAUUUAAUUUAGAAGGAAACCCUUCUGAGAAAACUGAUGUAAGAAAGCUAUAUCUCUACAGCAACUUCAGCUUCCAAAAAAUAUUGUGUAUAUUUCCUUCCUCUUCUCUCCAAGGAAACCCAGCUGGAACGAUACUUCUGCACCAAAGGCUUAUGGCUAGACAUCUACCAUCUCGAUUUGGAUUCAAAAGACCUCAAUCAAGAAGCGCCAUGCAGCCACCGCUUCAAAUGAAAAGGAACAAAUGGUUGCAGAAAUUUGCCAAUAUCAUUAAGAGCAUGUCAAGCUGGUUUUAAUUAGGAAAGCACUGAUUUGCAUAUUAAAGAAAAUACCUAUUUCAAUGUU
rnacentral:lncRNA from 1 species